GUGGCAGCUGUCAGCUCGCCUUGGUCGUUGUGCAACUGUUGGCCAACCCUGAGAGUCCGAGCUGCCUGAGCCUAACCGUGUCUGGUUUAUGGACGGAAAGGGGGAUAAAAGCCCCACGCGUUGGGCAUGCAGCCCCCCGAGCUGCCCUUUCCUGUUUGCCAAGUUCAAAACCCGUAGGUUUAGAACCGAUAGAUUUUGAACCUGCUCGGUUGUGGAACCUUGGUGUCUUUGGGUAUCUCUGUCUAGGAGCUCGAGAUAGCAGUUGGCUUGGUGCAGGGAUUAAUUAUCAUGUCUCGUAGUCGUGUAUUUGUUUAUUUGUUUUUGCUAUAGAUUACAGCUGGAGGAAUUCUAAACAGUCCGAGUCUCCUUGUCGUGGUGUUUAAGUGCAUUGUGCUCCUGUCUGAACAGAGGAAAUCGCUGAGCCUACAGAGCAGUGAGGAGCGAUCUGCCCAUGCGGCCCUAAAGUGGAAUUAAGGAUCGAGACCUUCUGAAUCUUGGUCUUGUACUUCUCCUGCAGCCGAGGACACCCAGAGAUUUGUGCCCUUCUCUGUGAGAGACUAACAACAAGCCUAUGACAUAUGUGCCAAAUGAACUUAUUUCUGAGGCAGCUGAUGUCUGAGAAGUGCUGGCAGUGUGUGUCCUUCCACCAGGUUCAGCAUGAAGCCUUGCAUCUUCAUCUGAGCAGCACCUCCAGUUCUGAUGUCCUCGUGCUUCUCUGCCUCCAACACCUGAGUGCUGUUUAGGUGGCUGUCAGCAAUUGUCCUGUUGUCAUACACCAAUGCUAGCAUGCACUGGAAGAAUACCAGUUCAUUCUUGGCCUGGAGGAAUAACUGAUGGAAGGAAACAGCACAGGAAGAGACUCUUGUCUUGGUUCUGGUCUUUGGAUGGAUGGAUACAGAGAGGCCUGUGGCACUGAGGGAUGAAAGGUGACAAACAGUGUGAAACCUGUCCCAAGAAACUCGUUAUAAUCAUGCAACCUUCAGGUGGUUUUCUUUCUCCAAAAGAAGCUGCCAUGUGUCACUUGGCCCUCUGGCAGUUGUCGCUCGCCCUGUCUACUGGAUAGAAGUAUUAAACAAUUAUUUCUCUGCUUAGGAAAGUUUAAUACAAUGUUGUAGCAGUGAGGCUACAACACUAUAUAUAAUUUUUUCCUUCUCUCAUAGUUUUGUGUCCACCCUUACAAAGCUUUCAUGAAGAAGCUCUGUUGAAUUUUGCUGUGGCACUUUGAGAUGUUGCAGAUCUAGUCCUGCUCCACGGCUUUCUUCCCCAUAGCAGAGCCAGCAGAAGAGUUUGUUCUGUGCCUGCUGACCCUGGUCCAGGGCAGCAUCCCCCAGAAGAGCAGCUUGCUGGAGGUGGUGAUUUAAACCACUGAGCAUGUUUCCUAGGAGGACUCUUACUUUCCUAAUUAGCACGCCUGCUUUGCCAGUGAGCUGCGAUGAGCUGUUCCCCCAUUGACCCAGUGGAUCCUGGUCUUGCAUUUUACAACUAAAACAACAUAUUCUAUGAUGUUGUAAAUGUACUCUUUGGAACUGAUUCUCCUCCUAAUCUGUAAAACCUGUGAAAUGAUGGCCCUGUCCCUCAGCAGUUCUGCAAUCACCUCUCAGUGACACACCGUGUUUCAUUCUGGAAUAAGAUUUUAGACCAGAAGAAGGGUUAGGCUGCAUGCAGAUUAACAAAUCUGUUGCUGGUAUCUCUGGCUACUGCAGCAUGACUCACCCAUCAGCGCCUGUCAGCGGCUGUGUGACCUCAUUGGAAGCUUCAACGUCUCCUGUGCGAAGGUGCUCGUGGGCUCAUUCUGCACCAACCUCGCCAGUCUGCAAGCCCCAAAAAUACGGGAACAAACCAAACGCUGUGGUUUCUAUUCAAGGCCCAGGAGUGGAAUAAGGAACAUGAGCCGUGGGAUAUCCUGUGUCACUGCAGGCUGAUCUCUGCAGCAGGCAGAGGCUGCUCAGCCUGGAAGGGUCUCAUGGCAAAGGGAGGAAACAUCAGAGACGCCAUGGAUUAUUUUAGAUCUGCAACCUCAGUUCUGCAAAGAGGUCAAAGUCCACCGCCAGCAGCAGCCUGUGUGCUCGGCUCCUAAAGGAGCUCCGUGGGUUUGUGCUGCUCCCUCUGUGUUCAUCCUAUAAAGCAGCUCAGCCCAAUAUCACCUGCUGCAUGUGACGUGUGGGGCAGGGAGGAUCCCAACAGCUGGGUUCUGUGGAGUCACCUUUCCCACUGUUGGCACACGCAGUACUGGGAUGCUUCUCAGUGCUGAGCCUUAAAAGGGAGGUGGACACAAGAACUCCUUUCCUUUCCCUGGAUGAAGAGAUGUUUUCCUUUCCACGGAUGAAUUUCCUAAUUUUAGCUUCAGCUCACCCUGAACAUUCAAUGCAAAUCAAAUGUGGUGUCGUAAAAAGGCCUUCGAGAGGAAAUUCUUCUUAGAAACUCUUCUUACAGAUCACUGGAAUAAGCUUUAAAGUUUAACUGCAUCUUCACACGCCUUCAAAACUCCCCUCACCUCCACGAGAACUUCCCCCUGAUUUCCAUGGCAGCCGACUUAUUCCUCGCUGCCCUCAGCUAUGAAUGGCAUUCUGUGCACAGCCCCGCGCUCCAGAGCUUUGGAAAAUCACCUUUGGAGUUACAGAACCAGAAAUGAUGGCUGUGCCCAGCUGUGUGCUCACUGUGGGAAUGCUCAGCCACGGGAGUGGAGUUCCAAGGAAAAUCUCCUCUUUCCUUUGCAGGACAGCUUACCGAUGUGCCAAGCUCAGAGCAGCAGGGAGGAGCCUCACUGCAGGUUUGCAAGUUUCCCAUAGAACACAUCCCAAACUGCUGCACAAUGCAGUGCUGCUUGCUGUCAGCCUGAUGGGAGAACACAGCGUGCUCCAGCAGUGGGCAAUGUGAGAGCAGGCGGUGAGCUGCACAUCCCAAACACGCAGUGCUGGGACUCACCGUGCCCUCAGUGCAUCUCUGUGCUGCGUCCCUGGCCGUGCAGCUCAGCACGGAGAGCCCUGGGCUGUGAGCUGCUGGAUUUUUAUGUCUGUUUUCAUCCGUUUUUGCCUGCUUUGGGAUGCACACACAACCGGUGCUUCUAAAGGAGAGAAACAGUUGCUUCAUCUUCAUGUACAGACAGCCCUCUGCCCUUUGCAUUUAGAUUUCCGGUGUCUCUGUGUGUGGAGAUGAUUUGUCCGUAAUUGUUUGCUUUCUCCAGAGUCCUUUGAAGCGUCUGUCUUCAAACCAGUCCCUUAUAUUAAAAAUAAAUGCUUCCAAGCCACCAA